rnacentral:lncRNA from 1 species
CACGGGAGAGAUAAGGAAGAGGGAGGGGAGGCAUCGCGGAUGGGAAGGACCUUUAGCCCGGUUGAAAAUUCCAACCGGGAUAAAAGUGGAGUCUAUUGUUCCAAUUGGAAUUUCCAACCAGGAUAAAAGGGGGUUGCGUCCGUGCCAGCUCUUUUCAACCGGGACUAAAGCUCCUCCCGUCGAUGUCUUUUCGGUGCCUCAUUUUUAACCCGGGAUUAAAGCCCCUUUAGUCACGGGCCCAAUGCUAACCGGGACAAAAGAGGUUGGAUGGA